rnacentral:lncRNA from 1 species
GCGACGUGAGGGGUGGUUGGUCGGCUCGGGGGCGCCGGGUAAGCGGCCGGGGCCGGAGCCUCGGGAGCCCGCCUUUGUGGAGACAGAGUCGGAGGCCGACGGUUGGGCUGCGCCUCAGGCCGCGGAGCAGCGUCGGAGCGGCGACCCGGCGGGACUGCCGCGCUCGCCCUGCCUCUCAUCUACACACAUUUUUUGGGGUGAGGAAAGAGGUUGCUCUGCCCAGCGAUGGAUCCGAGGAGAGAGCCCGGGAGCGGGGCAAGGGGUGUCACUGAGUUCGCGGUGCCCACCCGAUGUCCGCCAGCCGGCCAUCCCCCGCAGCCAUGGUCCACGUCCCCAGACCCCACGCCACGCCACGCCACGCCACAGGCACGGAAAGCCGGCCGGCGGCUCUCGCCUUCCACGUACCUGACUGGCCUGGCGUCUCCAGGGACAAAGGUGUCCUGGGAUCACAGCCGAGCCCUCACCAGCAUGCCCCCCUCCAGAGCGGAGGUCGCUACCCGCCCCCCGGGGAACUCUCUCAAAGCACCUAGGGGGAGGUUCCAUCUUAACCUCCGGUGACAAGAUGGCCCUCCUGGGGUGCUGGGGGCCUGCUCUUCAGAGUGUCUGCUGAGAGGAUGUCUGAACGUGUCUGAAGGACUACAAGGGAAUCACAAGAGAAACAUUCAAGCUUUUACACAGCCGGCUUGAACUUUUCCAGGCGUUGGCAAGUACUCCAAGAACUCAAGUAGAAAAACUCAAAUUGGGAGUCAUCUUCCAGAUCCCAGGCUGCUUGGAAAGAUGAACGUUUUGAAGGGAAGAGGGGAAGAGCAAGUCAGGAGCAAAGGGUAGGGAAAGGGGGCAAGGAGGAGCCCCCAGAAUGCAGUCAGUCUCAAGCAUGAAAAUGAUGAACAAAAGGAGUGCACUGUGGCUCCUCAAGUCUGCACAGUGGGAAAACAAAGACAGUUCUUUGAUUAUAGUGAGAUCAAGAAAAUAACACCCACAUUCCCAUAACUUGGGAGACUGAGAUGAAACAAGAUUGCCAGCCUGGGUAUCUUAAGACCAAAAGAAAGGGGCCUGGAGAGAUGACUCCGUGGUUAAGAUUGGCACUGUUCUUGGGUUUGCUCCAAAACAUCUACACCCGUAAGGCUUCCAUGGACAGUGCGUUCAUGUGCACACACAGACAUAAUUAAAAAUAAAUCUGAAAAGAAUAUGGCCUGCAACUGACUAUGCAGCAUGGGCUGGCCUUAGGUGGUGGGUCCUUCGACCUCUUUCAGAGUUCUGGGAUUACAGGCAUGCAGCCACUAUACACAGCCUAAAAAUAACUCCUUAAAUAACACUAGAGUGUCAUAAAUUAGGAGAGGAGACCAGAAGAGAAAGAGAAAUGGACAGUUGAAACUGAGUUCUUCCAGCUGGUGAGAGUGCCACAGCCAUCUCUGACAAGCAUAUUCUUGAAUGUUCCAUAAUGGUUACCUCCUUCAUCAGAAAGGUGAUACCAGGGCCAAAGAAAUGGUUUAUCAAGGCUGAAGAGAUGGCUCAGUUGGUAAGAAAUAGGCUCACAACCAAAAGGAUAAGAGAUGGUUUGGGGGG